rnacentral:rRNA from 1 species
GGUGAACGCUGGCGGCGUGCCUAAUACAUGCGAGUCGAGCGAACAGACGAGGAGCUUGCUCCUCUGACGUUAGCGGCGGACGGGUGAGUAACACGUGGAUAACCUACCUAUAAGACUGGGAUAACUUCGGGAAACCGGAGCUAAUACCGGAUAAUAUAUUGAACCGCAUGGUUCAAUAGUGAAAGACGGUUUUGCUGUCACUUAUAGAUGGAUCCGCGCCGCAUUAGCUAGUUGGUAAGGUAACGGCUUACCAAGGCAACGAUGCGUAGCCGACCUGAGAGGGUGAUCGGCCACACUGGAACUGAGACACGGUCCAGACUCCUACGGGAGGCAGCAGUAGGGAAUCUUCCGCAAUGGGCGAAAGCUUGACGGAGCAACGCCGCGUGAGUGAUGAAGGUCUUGGAUCGUAAAACUCUGUUAUUAGGGAAGAACAAAUGUGUAAGUAACUAUGCACGUCUUGACGGUACCUAAUCAGAAAGCCACGGCUAACUACGUG